rnacentral:tRNA from 1 species
GGCUCCAUCGUGUAAUGGUUAGCACGUCUGAUUUACAUGCAGAAGGUCCUGGGUUCACAUCCCAAGUGGAGCCA